ensembl:snRNA Gm25985 predicted gene, 25985
GUGCUCAUUUUGGCAGCACAUAUACUACAACUGGAACAGUACAGAAGAGAAUAGCAUGGCCGUCUCUCAAGGAUGACAUGCAAAUUUAUGAAGCAUUAGAAAAAAUA